GCACCAGGGCUGAAAGAGAGUAAUGGAGAAGAAAACCAUAGCUGAUGUUGAAGUUAAUGACAUGAUCAAGGCAGGCAUGUCAAUGGAGGAGGCCAAAGAAUUUCACAAAAUCCUCAAACAAACGAUUGGUGAAGCGAAAGGGUCAGACGCCAGAGAGGUUUGGCAAAAGGUGGUGGCUAAGAGAAUGCUAAUGCCUUGGCAUCCACAUCGUCUGCACCAACUCAUCUACUAUUCUGUCUAUGCUCACUGGGAUGCCUCCAUUAAUGGACCUCCUCUUUAUUGGUUUCCUUCUCUAUCUCAGUCAAAAUAUACAAACUUAGGACGUGCAAUGGAAAUUUAUGGUCCUGAGUUCUUAGGAGCUUCAUACAAGGAUCCUGUAACAAGUUUUAGGCUCUUUCAGAAAUACUCUGUUCAACAUCCUGAUGAUUAUUGGUCAAUUAUUCUGAGAGAGCUUUCGAUUGUAUUUCAUGAAGUUCCAAAGUGUAUUAUUGACACCACCAAUAAAUCAAAACACGGAGGGAAAUGGCUACCAGGUUCAGUUCUGAAUAUUGCUGAAUGCUGUUUGCAGCCUUCCAGUCAUCCUAGAAAAAAUGAUGACAGUGUGGCUAUUGUAUGGAGUGAUGAAAGUGAUAAUUCCAAAGUGAAUCACAUGACAUUAAAAGAACUUCGAGAACAAGUAAUGUUGGUGGCUAAUGCUUUGGAUGCAACAUUUGCAAAAGGCGAUGCAAUUGCUAUUGACAUGCCAAUGACAGUCAGUGCUGUUGUAAUAUACCUGGCCAUUGUAUUAGCAGGGUUUGUUGUUGUAUCUAUAGCUGAUAGCUUUGCGGCCAAGGAAAUUGCGAGUCGUUUACGCAUUUCCGAUGCUAAAGCUAUCUUUACUCAGGAUUAUAUAAUCAGAGGAGGUCGGAAAUUUCCUUUGUACAGUCGCGUAGUAGAGGCUAAUCCACAUAAAGCCAUCGUGAUCCCAGCAAUAGGGAGUGAUGUAGGCAUUGAAUUAAGACAACAGGAUCUGUCAUGGAAAGAUUUUCUGUCAAGUGUCAAUCACCUUCUAAGACCAAAUUAUUGCUGUCCUAUUUAUCAACCAGUAGAUUCUAUCACUAAUAUACUCUUUUCAUCUGGAACCACAGGAGAACCAAAAGCUAUAUUAUGGACCCAACUUUCUCCAAUUCGAUGUGCUAGCGAUGCGUGGGCUCACAUUGAUAUUCAAGUUGGUGAUGUUUACUGCUGGCCCACAAAUUUAGGAUGGGUGAUGGGACCAAUUUUACUUUACUCAUGCUUUCUAAAUGGAGCAACACUUGCUCUCUUUCAUGGAUCUCCUCUUGGCCGUGGGUUUGGAAAAUUUGUUCAGGAUGCUGGAGUUACUGUUUUGGGUACAGUUCCAAGUUUAGUGAAAGCUUGGAAGAGUACCAACUGUACGGAAGGAUUAGACUGGACAAAGAUAAAAUCCUUCUGUUCCACUGGAGAAUCCUCCAAUGUUGAUGAUGACCUUUGGCUUUCUUCAAGAGCUUAUUACAAGCCUAUUAUUGAAUGUUGUGGAGGCACAGAGCUUGCAUCAUCCUAUAUCCAAGGAUGUCCACUUCAGCCACAAGCUUUUGGAGCAUUCAGCACUGCAUCAAUGACAACAGGCUUUGUCAUCCUUGAUGAAAAUGGAGUUCCUUAUCCUGAUGAUCAACCUUGUGUUGGUGAAGUGGGUUUAUUCCCUCUAUACCUUGGUGCAAGCGAUAGGUUGCUUAAUGCUGAUCAUUACAAAGUGUACUUCAAGGGAAUGCCAAUGUUUAAGGGAAUGCAUCUCAGGAGACAUGGAGACAUACUUAAGAGAACUGUUGGAGGGUAUUUCAUUGUACAGGGCAGAGCUGAUGACACCAUGAAUCUUGGUGGCAUUAAGACAAGUUCUGUUGAAAUUGAGCGUGUGUGUGAUCGGGCUGAUGAAGACAUCAUGGAGACUGCUGCAAUUAGUGUAGCACCAGUAGAUGGUGGUCCAGAACUCUUAGUAAUUUUUGUAGUUCUAAAGAAGGGAUUCAAUGUUGAACCAGACAAGUUGAAAAUGAAAUUCUCCAAAGCCAUCCAAAGCAAUCUCAAUCCCCUGUUCAAGGUGAGCUUUGUUAAGAUUGUCCCUGAGUUUCCUCGAACUGCUUCUAACAAGUUAUUAAGAAGAGUACUGAGGGAUCAAAUGAAGCAUGAGUUAUCCCUACGCAGUAAAAUCUAGCGUGAGAAUCAUAAAAAUAUUUGUACAUUUCAUUUGAAGAAGUUGCAUAUUCAUGUAACAUGUCUGAAAUGUUUGUUGUAAUUCUUGUGAUGUAAUAGUUCGUUGCUGAAUGUGAGCUUUCAUUGGUGGCCAUCCAUCAAAACUGGAAUAAGAAGUUUCAUAGUCCCACACAUAGAAUGACCUACCAGCUUUCUAUAUUUUAUU
rnacentral:misc_RNA from 1 species